UGGGGAAUAUUGCACAAUGGGGGAAACCCUGAUGCAGCGACGCCGCGUGAACGAAGAAGGUAUUCGUAUCGUAAAGUUCUGUCCUAUGGGAAGAUAAUGACAGUACCAUAGAAGAAAGCGCCGGCUAAAUACGUGCCAGCAGCCGCGGUAAUACGUAUGGAGCGAGCGUUGUCCGGAAUUAUUGGGCGUAAAGGGUACGCAGGCGGUUUAAUAAGUCGAAUGUUAAAGAUCGGGGCUCAACCCCGCAAAGCAUUGGAAACUGAUAAACUUGAGUAGUGGAGAGGAAAGUGGAAUUCCUAGUGUAGUGGUGAAAUACGUAGAUAUUAGGAGGAAUACCAGUAGCGAAGGCGACUUUCUGGACACAAACUGACGCUGAGGUACGAAAGCGUGGGGAGCAAACAGG
rnacentral:rRNA from 1 species